rnacentral:snoRNA from 17 species
GCGGAUGAUUAUAUUUUUUAACUCAGAGCCCCUGGAGGGUGCCUUGAAGAUCAAAAACAAUGCAACAACAAACACUCUAAUUUUUUGAUGACG